UACGAAGGGUGCAAACGUUUGCUCGGAAUCAUUGGGCGUAAAGCGCACGUAGGCGGCUUCGCAAGUCGGAUGUGAAAUCCCUCGGCUCAACCGAGGACGUGCAUCCGAAACUGCGGAGCUUGAGUACUGAAGAGGAUCGCGGAAUUCCCGGUGUAGAGGUGAAAUUCGUAGAUAUCGGGAGGAACACCAGUGGCGAAGGCGGCGAUCUGGGCAGUUACUGACGCUGAGGUGCGAAAGCGUGGGGAGCAAACAGG
rnacentral:rRNA from 1 species